UACCCCUUAUGCCCCAGUGCGGACGAGGAAUAUUCCGACCGAUUCCGUAGAGCCAACGAAGCCGAAGGCCUACAUCUGUUCGACAGGAGUGAUCUUUUUCUGUAUCAACGCGGCAGUUAUUUUCCAAAGAUGGCGCAGGGCUGGACAGCUAACUCGCGUCGUUGCCGAGCUCCUUGGUCUCCUGGGGGUGCCGCUCCGGAGGCAGGUUACAAUAAAGGUGGCGCUAAGCGCCGCGGCCGCCGCAAUCUUGCUAAUAGACCUGGCGAUCGGGAUAACUAUAGUAUCAAAAUAAACAUCAAGAAGAAAUGCAUGACCGUCAUGGGGAUGUUCUCUUUCCUUCUUAAUAAGGCAAAGAGGAUGGUCCAGCAUCAAGAUAAUGGGACAAUCAUUCCUUUCAUUUACGCACAAGAAAUAGACGACAAUGGUGUUAUAUACACAUAUGUUAACUAAAGCCUGUGUUCUAUUCACUUUAGAGUGAAUAUAAAUAAGAACCUGGGUAGAGAAGUUUGCUUUUAACACGAUUCACGAUCUUUUGC